rnacentral:lncRNA from 10 species
CGGCCAGCCCGCGCUCCCGCACACCCCGCCCGCUCGCCCGCGCGUGUGUACGUGCGCCGGAGGCCUGGAGAGACCGGAGUUUAACGCCCAGUCUUCUUCCUAAGUUGGAGAAAUGGGAAACGAUUUGAAAGCUGCCAACCGGAGGUGAAAAUCUUGCCACUUGUGAAACUGAAGGAACAUCCCCAAGGCCUGGCUUCUCCUUUUAACAGAAGCUUUCUUUCAGGGUCCCCCUCCUGGAUGUGGCAGGCCUCCCAGAUUCCCCUGGAAGUUCUGACUUGCCCAUACACACAAGGACCUCAGGAAACCCAAUAGUGACUUUCCUCAGAUCUGUGAAUUCCUUCUUCUGGAAAAUAACCUUCUCAACAAUUGUGUAAGUUCUCAUAAUACAUCCCUGAUUCCAUUAUAUUCAUAAUGGUUCCACUUUCAUGAAAGAGUGGCUGGCAGAGCUCAAAUCCAAGACUUCUGGGUUCUUUUCACUAUUCUACAAGAAAUCCAACUUAGGUAGAUAAGAUCUUGAGACAAAUAGCUGCAUGUAAGUGAAAAACUGAAUGACAGUGUAUGAACUACUGAAGGAGAGAUUGACAUUCAAACCGGGCUCUUCAAGGACUAGCAGGAUAUCUACUAUAUGAAGGGUGAAGGAGUUUCUAUUCAGACACAAAGGGAAGAAAUGCUGAAACCCAUUAGGAAAAUUACUAGUAAUAAAAACAUCAUGUAUUGAAUUCCUGCUGUCUCUAACCAUAUUAAAAAUAGUCUUACCAUAGCUGACAAAACUUCCCUAUAAGGUAUGUAAGACACCAAUGUCCUAGUUAGGAAACUUGGCCAUGAUCGCACACCUUCUAAAUAUCAGAGUCUUGACUCAAAUAUGCCUGUGUCUGACUGUAAAGCCCUGUGAAAAAUUAUGCACAAAUGCCUCCUAGCAACAGUAUGAGUUUAAAAAAGCUAGAGUUCUCCCAUCAAGGUGCCUCUCAUUCUAUUUUCUCCCUCAUCUGCCAUCCUUCCACACACCUACCUCUCACCGUGCUCUCUGGGCAGUUAUGACUCAAGAUUGUUCGUGUCUAAUUACUGUUGCCAAGCAAACAUGAAGAAGGAAGGUUCAAGAAAUAGCAUAUUUCACAAUUUUUCUACUGUUAUUUGUUAGUCCUCAUUAGACUACUCAGAAUUUGUGUUACUGUAUAUUGGAAACAAAAUUAUGUCUAUCACCUUAACGUUUCUACGACUUGUAUUUUUCAAAUAUAAACUUAGUGAAUUAGACUAGGUCGUCUCCAAAAACCCAUCAUAAGAUUCAACAUGUUCUCUUUUGUGCUUUCUUUCUAGAUAAUGGAGUCCUUUAUGUUGUAAACAAGAAUAAAAAAGAAAGUAUAGAUAUUGUGGAGUAGUUUUUUUGUGGGGGGGGGGUCCUUUCUUUAAAAACCGUGUGAAUAUGUGGUUCUCAAUCAUUAUAUCCAAAACAUUUUACUAUUUUUCUUGUAA